GAGGGCGGUGGUGAUCAGGAUGACACGUUGGUGACGGCGCCGAAUAAUCCAAAGAGGCAGGUUCAAGUCCUGCCCGCCUCA
rnacentral:tRNA from 1 species